AUCUGAUCAGCUUAAAUGAAUGUGCAGGAAUCAAUCAGACAUAUAGUACUCGCCACCACUAGAUUGAUCUUGAUCAUCAUCAUGCAUAUUGUUAUGUUGUUCACCAACAUCAUCUUCAUGACUGAUUCUUGAUCUCUUUGAACUUGAAACAUUCCCCUUCAAAGCUGUUGUAUAACCCCCUUCUUCUUUCAGUUCAAUGGCAGCUGCAGUAGGUCUCUUCCUUACUGUGACUCUUGAGGGAACUGGGAAAUGCUCGACUUCUUCAUUUGAUUUUCCCUCUCUGGCUCUCUUUUUUCUCAGAACAAGCUUUGUUGGAAGAGGCAUGUAACGGGCCUCUCUUUCCCCAAACGCCACAACAUAAGUAUUAGGAUCAUCUGCAUCAUCACCUCGUACAUCCCAG
rnacentral:misc_RNA from 1 species